GUGAGACAGGUGCUGCAUGGCUGUCGUCAGCUCGUGUUGUGAAAUGUUGGGUUAAGUCCCGCAACGAGCGCAACCCUUAUCCUUUGUUGCCAGCGGUCCGGCCGGGAACUCAAAGGAGACUGCCAGUGAUAAACUGGAGGAAGGUGGGGAUGACGUCAAGUCAUCAUGGCCCUUACGACCAGGGCUACACACGUGCUACAAUGGCGCAUACAAAGAGAAGCGACCUCGCGAGAGCAAGCGGACCUCAUAAAGUGCGUCGUAGUCCGGAUUGGAGUCUGCAACUCGACUCCAUGAAGUCGGAAUCGCUAGUAAUCGUGGAUCAGAAUGCCACGGUGAAUACGUUCCCGGGCCUUGUACACACCGCCCGUCACACCAUGGGAGUGGGUUGCAAAAGAAGUAGGUAGCUUAACCUUCGGGA
rnacentral:rRNA from 1 species